CUUUGAUCUGAAUCUUCCGCCUGGCGGAAGGGACGAGCUCUCCGACCUUGUCGCGAAGCUCGAUCAAGUGGAGAGAGAGAUUCGCCACUUGAGCGAAUCCCGGAUCGAAUCGCCCGAGGAGGGUGAGGCGCGACAAUUGAGUUUGUCGGGCCUCCAUACAGUUCUUGACGAAGUCGAGAACCUGUUGGAGCAAUCCCGACAACUGGAUGAGGAGCGUUUCCAAGAACGGGAGCGACAGUGGGCGGAGCUUCGAGCGCCCUUUCGUCUUUAUGAGGAGGCAGAGGCCCUUCUUGAUGCUCGAAGGCAGGCCCUUGCGGAAGCAAGUCGUCACCUCCAUCUACAACUCCGGGCCCAAGACCAAUUCCUUCAAGAAGGGCAGGAGGGAAGAGGUGGUUCAAGACCCCUGUGAGCAGUCUCUUUGAUCAAAUAAGGGAUCAGACCGCUCCUGGUGUUCGAACUAGUCAUUAAUGGUCGGCUUCAUUGGUAUCCUUUCGGUAUGCGUUGCGAACACUUUCAUUUUUAGCGUCUCAUCUUCUCUAGAGAAGCGAAACUCGAACGGAUAGAGCAGAUGGUCCAACUACAUAACUUUAUAUUUUUCAUUACUUCUAUGGUCGUGCCUCGUGGCACGGCAGCACCCUUCCUAUUGAAAUGGUUCGUCAGUAGAGAUGUUUCCACAGGUGCCCCUUUUUCCAAUGGUCUUAUAAUUCCUAUUCUUAUCCCUUCAUUCCCUCUUUUGGUCUAUCUACAUUCCAGGAAAUUCAUACGCUCCAUGGACGGAGCAAAAAGUGGAGUCUUGGUCAGAGCAAGCCGCCCUAUUCUAUUACCAGACAUAAUUGGGAGAAGCUCAUCCGAAACUAGAGCUGGAAACGCCUCAUUUCGUUUCGUUCCCGUUCUUCAUUUCCUUCUUCUCGAAUCCAAGGGGGACUUAUCAUAUUUAGAAUCUUUCUGCGGUGUGCUCUGUUUACUAUUCUUUUGUACUCUCUUCUCUUUACCACGCGAUAGGUCAGCAAAGCGUGAGCGGGCGCGGAGAAGGAAAGGCCAAACACUUCGGCCUAACCCUAACGGGAAUGAGCAACAACGAAAUGACAAGAUGAGGUGCUCCGGGCACCCCCAUUUAGAAAGAAGGGUCGAAGGUUUUGGGCCUGUAGCUUUCCCCGUCCCCCCUUCGUCGGGUGGUGCUUGUGUGGGGGGUGUGCCACCUGAACCUGAAAUCGGGCUUGAAGCUCUCGCCUUACCAACGAGCCGACUGCUGAUGGCUGUUGGUCACGACUACCACCAAAAAGCUCCAAUUCGGAAUCGGAAUCGGAAUCGGAAUCGGAAUCGGAAGAAGAUUAAUAUUUCACAUUUUGGAGUGUGCAUCUGUAUUUUGGGUGUUCUUCUGUCGUGCGACCCGGCGGCUUAUGUGCGACCUGUGGCCCACGCCUCCUAUUUGUUCAGGGCGGGCGGCGUGAACUCUGACUCGAUCCGGGUAUUCCCGCCGCUGAGAUGCUCAGUUGACUCCUUAACCUUGAUAGGAAGAUGGCUUAUUAAAUAAUUCGUGCAUAAGGGUAAGGAACUUUGGAUGAACUAAUGCGAAUGGGUGUAAGCCUCGCUGCUCGGAAACACCCAGUGCUGACCACACUGAGAGACACGAAAGCGCAGGUAACGCCAGUUGGCGAAGUGGCGUUAAGCAUCCCUAGCGGUACGAAAAGAGAGGUCGUGAUGAUAUCAUCUACGUCCGUACCGCUCCUCGUGGAGUAGAUCCCGCAUCCAACCAAGUCUUUGACCAGGGAACGGGAUAAUUCCCACUACCGCAGGAAGGCCAGCCGGGCCGUGAGCUAUGAAGCGGUGGGAACGGGCUUCCCAAAAAGCCAGCCCCGGGCCGGGGUCGGCAUAGAAUGAAGGGGACGGCCCUAAUGUUGUGUUGGCAAAGCCAACUUCUUGGGUUGCGGGCGGAGAAGAGCGGACGUGGGGACUCAGACCGGGGCGCAGCGUAACUAAGAGAGCCAUUCCAUUUAGGGCGAGACAGAAUGGGCGGGCACGAGCGGUCUGGUGUCCGAGCCAAUUGGUCAGACGACGACUACUUCACUUAUUAGAUUAGUAUUCGCCGCCUAUCCCGAAAAAAAUGGGAUGAAAUAGAAAGAACGCGAAGCGCUAUAGUAUAGAAAGGUUUUUUUGGGGGGGGAUUUGCUUCUUCACAAGCUUAUCCCCGCCCCGACCGGCAGCUGCUGGAUCUCCCCAUCUCUCCUAAACUUCCCCCGGUCUUCGGCCCGAGCUGUAUGAGGCAGAAACUCGCCUCACGUACGGUUCGGAGGCCGAGCCCCACCCCAGCAGUAAUGGUGCGGCUUAGGUCAACUAACACAAAGAAGAUACAGUUCACUCAACGAUUGCCUUUGGGUUCCGAACUCCAUAUGGGGAAGGAGCGUUGUUGUUUCCGAGGUCUCGAUCAUUUACAUGGACCCACUUCUCAUUCCAUUUUUGGGAAUUUGAUGAUCUAUAAACCGUCCCUAACGAACGAUCGCCUCAUGUUUGAGCAUGAUGAAUCACUUCGUGCCGACCUGUUGCCAAUAAACUUUCCGGCCUCAUAUGAGAAUGGAAAACUUGAGCAUUUUCUGCAUCGGUGGAUGAAGAAUCGCGAACAUAAUAAUUUAUGGUUGACCAUGUUUCCAGAAAAAAGAUACUUUAGAGAAAGAACGAGCACGACUGAAGUGGCUAUACAUACAAAUCUAUUUACGGAUAGAUAUGCUUUGAUUGGAACUGGAAGUUCCAGAACAGGCGGCUGGUAUACCACCAUAAUUAAACUGCCUUUUAUUUUUUUGAUUUGGAUAGGAC
rnacentral:lncRNA from 1 species